rnacentral:lncRNA from 1 species
GUCUUUAUAAAGUACAGGCGUUCAAUUGCACCCAAGAAAAAGAAAAGGGGUUUAUGUUUUUCAUUAAAGCAUGAAUGUGAAAGAAGGAAAUUUCCUGGUUUGGAUUUGGAAAGAGUAUCUUUUCAUGAACCUAGUAAACAUGGGUUCUAUUUUAUAGUUGAAAAAAACAUGGAAUUCAACCAGUAUUGAGCUGCUUGCUUUUCCCAAAAACAUCAUAAUUAAAU